ACAGAGGGUGCAAACGUUGUUCGGAAUCACUGGGCGUAAAGCGCGUGUAGGCGGCUAUGUAAGUCGGACGUGAAAGCCCACGGCUCAACCGUGGAAGUGCGCUCGAAACUGCGUAGCUUGAGUCUUGGAGAGGAAGGCGGAAUACUUGGUGUAGAGGUGAAAUUCGUAGAUAUCAGGUAGAACACCAGUGGCGAAGGCGGCCUUCUGGACAAUGACUGACGCUGAGACGCGAAAGCGUGGGGAGCAAACAGGAUUAGAUACCCUGGUAGUCCACGCCGUAAACGAUGAGUGCUAGGUGUCACGAGCUUUGACCCUCGUGGUGCCGAAGCUAACGCGUUAAGCACUCCGCCUGGGGAGUACGGCCGCAAGGCUA
rnacentral:rRNA from 1 species